rnacentral:lncRNA from 1 species
UCUGCGUAAAUAAUUUUUGUAGUGUAAAAGCAAAAUAAAUUCAUACAUACAGUGGCACAGGUAGCCAAGUAUACAAAAUAUUCUACAAUGAAAUGUGAACCCCCAAAAUAAACAAAUAUGUACAAGAAGGUAGACCUUCAAUUUCUAAGGAUGUAAAUCCAAAAAUAGGUCUUCGACGAAAUCAGCUAUCUACAGACUAUCUUGAGCCUGAAAUGGGUAAAAAGAAGAGGUGAGUUUUUAUAAACCCAGUGAGUAAGCAAAGUUCAUCUACAACAUCUAAAGCCGAGUAAAUGGAGACAGUUAAAUCAUCCCAUCAUAAUAUGAUUCAUAACAUUUAAAACUCAUUUCAAUUCAUAUAAAACAAUUACAUUUCAUCAAAAUAAUCAACAAGGCUUAUGAUUCUCUUAAAAACUUGGCUUGUGCCAAAACUCAUACUCGGGGACACCUUGGCCCGGGCAUCCAACCGAGUCCGCCAAGGAUGUUAAAACAACAUAUACCCAUAAAACAUGUUUUUACUUUUAAAAUAUAGUCAUUCCUUGGUGUUGGCUGAGUUUCAUCCUGACGUGGUGGUUCGGCGUGAAGUGAACUCUAAACUUACCUUACGAGAUACCCUCUGCGCCUCUCAUACUAAGGUAAAAUAUAACGGGGUUUACCAUGCCCUUCUAAUAGGUUGGUCCACGAAACUCGCCCACUAUAAUAAGCUAAUCAAAUAACCCACCAAAUCAAUAAAAAUUUCAACAGCAUGACAUGGUUAAUAUAAUAUUACCCAGCCUGUCAAGGUAAAAAAAAACAGUUUAUAUAAUCCACAAACCACAAAUCCAGCCAUGCAUGCCAUCACAUUGUCAUAAGCCAUCAAUUCAAACCAUAUAUAUAUAUAGAUAACACAAGUAUUUCGUCUCCACUUACUCAAUUUCCAAAACCAGUAUUCAAUUUCAAAACAAGUUAUAAAUCUCAUUUCGUUUAACCAACACUUAACUUAUAAAACAUAAAAAUCUACGGUUUAAGUUCAUUAUUCUUUAAAAUCAUAAAAACGAGUAUAAGCUACUUUAGAUAGUUAAGAUGAACAUUUGAUUACUCACUAUAAUGGGAAUUUGGAGUGGUAGGAGUACUCCUAUUCUCGGUCCUCCAGCACGAUAUCUUUGCCCUUAUCGGGGGGUUCAACACCUAUCCAUAAUACACGGCACGUAAUUCAAUACAUUGUUGUCAAAUUGUUAUAAAACUAUUUCAGACUCUAUAUGAAUGCAUGAAGUUGAAUGAGAAAUGUUCGGAUAGUCACUCAAAGACGGUGUUCUACGUAGAUUCAAUUGUGAUCGGAAGGAAUUUGUAUUCGACCUAAUUCGAACUAUACACCAUUGAUUUGACCAAAACAUCCGAUUCAACUCUAAAUAUAUUCAUUACACUUCCAAUAAUCUAAUACACCGAAGCAUUACAAUGAACUUGAUUUUUGACUAACUUCACCAUUUUUCGAAAUUCAUUCUGAUUCUGAACUAACAUACUAAUCAAUGUCUACACAGUCUCAUAAAUCCAUAUAUAUCAUUAGGAAUCAAAUCCAAGUCCAUUUACUAUGAUUUUCUCAGUUUCCAUCAAGCCAUUUUCUAAAGGAACUAUACUUUUCAAUAAUCGGUUUCGAUAUUCAACAUCAUAAUUCAUCAAUUCCUAGCUAAAUAACAUGAAUUACAACCAAAUCCAUCAUCAACAUGUGCUAUAGAAAAUUCGGCCAAAUGAGGGUGGUUGAAGAAUAUGUGAUUUUCUUACUUAUUUUUCCUUCCAAACAUCACAAAAUGACUAAAAACACUAGGAUAUUAUGAAAUCUAGCAAAAUUCAUCACCAAAACUUCUCUCUCUAGGUUUGGCUAGCAAAGGUUCCCUCUUGAAAACUUGAAUUUCAGCCAUGGAGAAUGAAAAAGAAUGCAUGCGAAAGGUAGAUCACAAGCUAAAAUAAAAAAAAUCUUACCUUUACUUGCUUGAUUUCUUGAAAUCCAACAAU